GCAUAUCAAUAAGCGGAGGAAAAGAAACCCAACAGGGAUUGCCCCAGUAACGGCGAAGUGAAGCGGCAAGAGCUCAAAUUUGAAAUCUGGCCUCCUCCGGGGGUCCGAGUUGUAAUUUGCAGAGGAUGCUUCGGGUGCGGCCCCCGUCUAAGUUCCUUGGAACAGGACGUCAGAGAGGGUGAGAAUCCCGUCUUGGGCGGGCGGCCCGCGCCCGUGUGAAGCUCCUUCGACGAGUCGAGUUGUUUGGGAAUGCAGCUCUAAGCGGGUGGUAAAUUUCAUCUAAAGCUAAAUACUGGCCGGAGACCGAUAGCGCACAAGUAGAGUGAUCGAAAGGUUAAAAGCACCUUGAAAAGGGAGUUAAACAGCACGUGAAAUUGUUGAAAGGGAAGCGCUUGCGGCCAGACUCGGGGGCGGGGUUCAGCGGGCGCUCGUCGCCCGUGCACUCCCCGCGCCCCGGGCCAGCAUCAGUUUCGACGGCCGGUCAAAGGCCCCCGGAAUGUGUCGUCUCUAGGGACGUCUUAUAGCCGGGGGUGCAAUGCGGCCCGUCGGGACUGAGGAACGCGCUCCGGCUCGGAUGCUGGCGUAAUGGCCGUAAGCGGCCCGUCUUGAAACACGGACCAAGGAGUCUAACAUCCACGCGAGUGUUCGGGUGUCAAACCCGUGCGCGCAGUGAAAGCGAACGGAGGUGGGAGCCUUUGGGCGCACCAUCGACCGAUCCUGAAGUCUUCGGAUGGAUUUGAGUAGGAGCGUGGCCGUUGGGACCCGAAAGAUGGUGAACUAUGCCUGAAUAGGGUGAAAGCCAGAGGAAACUCUGGUGGAGGCUCGCAGCGGUUCUGACGUGCAAAUCGAUCGUCAAAUUUGGGCAUAGGGGCGAAAGACUAAUCGAACCAUCUAGUAGCUGGUUCCUGCCGAAGU
rnacentral:rRNA from 1 species